rnacentral:tRNA from 2 species
CGGGGAGUGGCGCAGCCUGGUAGCGCGCCUGCUUUGGGAGCAGGAAGUCGCUGGUUCAAAUCCAGUCUCCCCGACCA